GGAAAUUUUUCCCAUGGUGACCACUUAUUUUUAAUAUAAUAUCAAGAUACUAAAAAUUAUCUUUAAAGUUUUGGCAAUUCAGAGUCUUGAAACCAUAUUUUUUCGGUCACAGAAUGGCUGAACAAAUUGUGGUAUAUGUUGAUGAUGGAAUCCUAUUGUGCUCAAAGGAAUAAUAAAGUGGAGGAAUUCCAUGGAGACUGGAACACUCCAGGAAGUGAUACAGAGUGAGAGGAGCAGAAGCAGGAGAACAUUGUACACAGAGUGAUACACUGUGGCACAAUCUAAUGUGAUCAGACCAAAGCGAAAAAUCACAGAUUGAAAACAAAUGCUUGGAAGCACCUGCUAACUUGGAUUAACCCAAAGAACAGACAGCUCAGGCACAGCUUGGGAUCAUGUCUGAUCAAUAUGUUAAGGUCCCACGUCCAGGGCCAGUGGAGGACCCCUGCAAUCUUCCUAUAAUGAGCAAUCUGACUCCAGUGUCAUCAGUACAGCAAAAGCCCCCAAAGGUAUGGAUGGGGUUGACACAGCUGCCCCCGAGGACUGCUAUUUAUUGACUUGGCAGUGGAUGAGAGAAAGCAAAGAGAAAAGUCUACAAACACAAAUGGGCAGAAUCAAUUAUUUCAACAUGCCAUUAGCUCACAACUAAAGGAAGACUUCACUGAUGAAGAGUUUUACUCACAUUCAUAUUAGAUCCUCACAAGAAACUUGGAGCACAGGCAGGGGAAGCAUUCUCAUUGCAUUCACAGCUCAGGCCAUGAGCUCAGUGUCAGUGAUUUGAACAAAAUCCUAAAAGCUGAGACUAGAAUUAAACUCUGUAACGUCUCUGCAUUCAGCCUUUCCUUUUCACUUUGAUUGUCUGUACUCUCAGUCAUCUAUUCAUAGAUCUAAUACUACUUGGUGCACAUAUAGGAAUAUUUAUAUUAUUUCAUGAUGUAUCACCUGUAAGCAUAAUAUAAAUUUCUUUUUUUUCCCCCUUUAAACCCUUAUCUUCCAUCUGGUAAUCAAUAAUGUGUAUUGGUUCCAAGGUAGAAGAGCAGAAAGGGCUAGGAAAUGGGGGUCAAGUAACUUGCCCA